UUAAGGUGGAAUAACUUUAUUAUUCUGGGUUUGGUCGAAAAGGGUUAGCCAUCACGAAGAUAAGUACAAACAGUGCAAGUGCGGCGUUGGUACAUAGCAUGGCUACAUAGCAUGGCUAACUAGCAUGGCUACAUAGCAGUACGUAUAUGAAGGCAACAGUGAUUUGGCAGGAUGUCUCAUGGUCAUCGACUUUAAAGAAAUGUUGGCCACCUGACGAUGGUGACUUUGUGGAUCCCGUAGGUGUGUUGCGCUUCAUGCUGUCAUAGUCUUAAGAGCCUGGUCAUCUGGAAUUCUACUCAACACAUGGUGGCUUGACCCCCAGCAACGGAGGGUUGACCUCAUGGGGAGAGUUCGGACAACGACGGUUUGAUGCAAUAAAACAAAACCGCUGUCACUGGAAUGUAAACAGAUAGCAUGGAGGAAUAAUCCAGCAGAGCAACGAUCACUGAUCUGGACGAGAAUACACCCUCCUGGGGGUUGAGUGGACAGUAGCAGCUCUUCAGGAGGUCUGAGGAACACAACAUGUUACUGCUACAGAGCGCUAUGUUAUACAGAGCAGUGUGUUACAGAGCGGUAUGUUACUGCUACAGAGCGGUAUGUUACAGAGUGGUAUGUUACAUCUACAGAGCGGUAUGUUAAACAGAGCGUUAUGUUACAGAGCAGUAUGAUACAGAGCGCUAUCGUUAUGUUACAGAGCAGUAUGAUACAGAGCGCUAUGUUACUGCUACAGAGCGGUAUGUUAAACAGAGCGUUAUGUUACAGAGCAGUAUGAUACAGAGCGCUAUGUUACUGCUACAGAGCGGUACGUUAUACAGAGCGUUAUGUUACAGAGCGUUAUGUUACAGAGCGGUAUGUUAAAGAGCGGUAUGUAACUGCUACAGAGUGGUAUGUUACUGUUACAGAGCGCUAUGCGUUAUGUUACAGAGCGGUAUGUUACAGAGCGGUAUGUCAAUGUUAUGUUACUGCUCCAGAGCGGUAUGCUACUGUUAUGUUACUGCUGCAGAGCGGUAUGUCACUGGUAUGUUACUGCUCCAGAGCAGUAUGUUACCGUUAUGUUACUGCUGCAGAGCGGUAUGUCACUGGUAUGUUACUGGUCCAGAGCGGUAUGUUACUAUUACAGAGCGGCAUGUUACUGGUAUGUUACUGCUACAGAGUGGUCUAUAUCUGUUCAUCUUGAUGUUUCAACAGUCAAGCCGUUCUCACCUCGUUUUUCUGGGAGUUCUGCAUCCGCUUGCGUUUCCUGGCGAGAGCUUCCUGCUUCUUCCUCUCGAUGUCAGCAGCCGAGCACCUGGAGAUCAACUGAACGCUCACCAGACCGGUCGACACCACUGGAGACCAGAGAGCACAUGGUGAUCAGCGAGAGGAAUCAAGAGAAUAGAGGAUACCAGAGAACAAAUGGAAAUCAGAGGAGACCGGAGACCAGAGGAGAUCAGAGGAGACCAGAGGAUAUCAGAGAACCAAUGGAAAUCAGAGGAGACCAGAGACCAGAGGAGAUCAGAGGAGACCAGAGACCGGAGGAUAUCAGAGAAUAAAUGGAAAUCAGAGGAGACCAGAGGAUAUCAGAGAACCAAUGGAAAUCAGAGGAGACCAGAGACCAGAGGAGACCAGAGGAGAUCAGAGAACCAAUUGAAAUCAGAGGAGACCAGAGACCAGAGGAGAUCAGAGGAGACCAGAGACCAGAGGAGACCAGAGACCAGAGGAGACCAGAGAACAAAUGGAAAUCAGAGGAGACCGGAGACCAGAGGAGAUCAGAGGAGACCAGAG
ensembl:lncRNA